GUUGUGAGCACUUCAUAUAAUGUUGUGAGCACUUCAUAUAAUGUCGUGAGCACUUCAUAUAAUGUUGUGAGCACUGCAUAUAAUGUUUGGACCACUGCGUAUAAUGUUGUGAGCACUUCAUAUAAUGUUGUGAGCACUUCAUAUAAUGUUGUGAGCACUGCAUAUAAUGUUGUGAGCACUGCAUAUAAUGUUGUGAGCACUGCAUAUAAUGCUGAUUAUUAACAUAAGGCAGUCAUGGCGUUCCAUACAUUUGUAUUCUUCUUGAGACUGAAUAGCAGUAGUGGAUCAAGGGGGUAUAAACCCCCUUUUGUAAGGAUCAAUGUUUUAAAC
rnacentral:lncRNA from 1 species